rnacentral:rRNA from 1 species
GUGAGGAAUUUUCCGCAAUGGGCGAAAGCCUGACGGAGCAAUGCCGCGUGAAGGAUGAAGGCCUAUGGGUUGUAAACUUCUUUUCUUAGAGAAGAAUAUUGACGGUAUCUGAGGAAUAAGCAUCGGCUAACUCUGUGCCAGCAGCCGCGGUAAGACAGAGGAUGCAAGCGUUAUCCGGCAUGAUUGGGCGUAAAGCGUCUGUAGGUGGCUUCAAAAGUCUCCUGUCAAAGAUCAGGGCUUAACCCUGGGCCGGCAGGAGAAACUCUGAGGGUAGAGGUUGGUAGGGGCAGAGGGAAUUCCCGGUGGGGCGGUGAAAUGCGUAGAGAUCGGGAGGAACACCAAAGGCGAAAGCACUCUGCUGGGCCACAACUGACACUGAGAGACGAAAGCGAGGGGAGCAAAAGGGAUUAGAAACCCUAGUAGUCC